rnacentral:rRNA from 1 species
UACCUUAUUAUUAGUGUCGUCCAAAACUCGGUGCCAGAAGACUCGGUAAGGCCAGAGACACAAACGUUAAUCGUCUUAAUCAGGCGUAAAGGGUUUGUAGGCGGCUUUAAAAUUUAGUUAAAAAAAAAUUUAAGUAAAGAAUAAAAGCUAGAAUCAAAUAGAGGAUAUAUGAAAGAAUGCUUAGAGUAGGUCUGAUAUCUUUAGAUACUAAGUAGAAUAUUAAAGGCGAAAGCUUUUUUCCAUUAAUGAUUGACGCUCAGAAACGAAGGUGAGGAUAGGAAAUAGGAUUAGAUACCCAGAAUACCCCUCUCUGUCAACGAUGAAUGGUAGUUAUUAGUAAAAAUUAUUAAUGGCAAUGUUAACACGAUAACCAUUCCGCCUUGUGAGUACAACUGCAAAGUUGAAAACAAAAAAAUUAGUCGGUUUCGGAGCAAACGAAGUGAAGCAUGUUAUUUAAUUCAAUAAAUCCGCAA